rnacentral:lncRNA from 1 species
CCUGACUCCACUGAAUUGCUGCAGAAAGCAAUUGCCUGAGAAGCUGCUGGAGUCACUUGAGUUCUGGGGCUGAAAAUAGGACACGUUGCUCACUUCAUGUUUUGGUUUCUGGUGUUUCUCACGCAGCAUUUUAAACUGAUUCAGACGUAUUCCCUAUGCAAAUCUUUAAUCCCUGUUGUUAGGAAGAAAAAUGGGUGUAAAUGUGGUUUUGAUUUUUUCCCCACCCUUUUACAGCUGUAUUUACCCCUAUAUGUCCCAUGACUGCUUCCUCCCACUUCUGUUUCCUCUGUUAUAAUCUUCCAUCUUCCUCUUAAAAUUUCCAUCAUCGUUAAUAACUCAUCUCUCUGUUAAUCUUAUUUUCACGUGGCAGGCUUUCUGUACUCUUCCAUUUGCUUCAUCCUGCUUUCUCUGUUUCUUGAUUCCAGUGGCUGUUUUGCUCCAUCCCUUUCUUCUUUCUGCCAAUGUGAGUCCUUCUCAAACGUUUGUCUGCAAAAUCUGCAAACUGAGACCUUUUGCUGCCAGCUUCCCGUAAGGUGUGGAAUAGAGGAGCAAAAUGAACUCAGGCUUUUAGGGCUUGCAUGUCUGUAUUUUGCAGCUUUGCCUUGUCACUGCAGGCGCGUGGCUGGGGGAGGCCAUCACUGAGAGGAGCAUCUUUGCCUCUGCUCCGUGCGAACGUCGCUCACCCCCUACACCGAGCAGCUGGAGAGGGAGCUGAGAAUCUGAGCACAUGGGCUGAUUUUGCAGAGGCAACUUUUCCACAGAGCUGCCAGCUGUUCGUGACACCAGGCUGGCAUGAUUUGUGCCAGCAGCACCGGCAGCCCAUCCCCAAGAGGAAGCCACCAUCCUGAAAGCACGCAGUGCCCUGAAGUCUGUUACAACAAGUGGGCUGAUGUAGCCUGUGCCCACUUGGAGUCAGGCUCCUUAUGAGGUAUCAACAGUGACAAGGCUUUUUGGAAAGCCUCCACCUGAGAGGAAUCAUCCAUGCCCCCACGGGUUUAAAAACUAUCUCCUGGAACUUCUAAAAACUUGAAAAAACCCUCCCAGUGCUCUGGAUUUAAGCUCCCUUAUGUGAAAGUGCACCAAUGAAAGCAAACAGAUGCAUCCCUGCCUACAGGAGGUAAGGCAAGAAACAGGCAGAGCCCAGCAACACACAGUGCCCUGCCAGCUCCUGCAUGGCCCUGGUGCAUCCCUGGGGCUGGACCCCCAUCACAGCGUUUCUGAGAGCCUGCCCCUUGCUCUCAAAGUCCACAGAGCACUUGCAGAUGGGUCUCUCUCACCUUCCUCUCUUUGGAGGUGGUUUCUUUGAGCAGCCUGGGAUGUGUCAGGGAGAGACCUUGUUUUUAUAACCUCCUGUUAUGGCUGGAGGUGAUGCCUCUGUGGUGACAGCUGGGAAGCAGGCUUUGAUCUGGUGCAUCAAUGCCUCCUCUGGGAAUUCAAGCCUCUGAGCCUUACUUGCCCUGGGCAAUCAUUAGGAGGAUUUCCCCUAAAUAAAGAGCCAUCA